GGUCCCUGAUAGGACCGUCCGUCUUGAACUAGGUCCCGCUGCGGUAGUACCCAAUCCCCGCCCCAUUGCUCGAGGGUUUCUUCAUUCUAGGUUUCCUACCCUAGCAGAGAGAGAGAGAGAGAGAGAGAGAGUGUGACAGGUCCGGACACUUGCCGGAGAAAAGGUAUGGAAAGAAUGCCAGUAAUCUGCUGGAUUUGAUGCGUUUCGGUGCUUUCCCUUGCAAAAAAUCGAGUUUCGUCAGCGAAACGUUGGAGAUGCAGUUGAAGUGAGUGGAUUUGGAGGAUUUUGGUGCUUGAUUUGAAGGUUUUUGCUCAACGUUUGAAGUUUUUCAAGAGGAAAAGAAGAACCUUUUUGGAAGGUAGCAAUUGAUUAGAAAGGGAAAAGGAAAGGGUUGCAGGAAAAAAGCGACAAGAAAAGAGGAGCAUUUGGUUAGACAAAAUUUUUUGCAUGUUUGAAAGGAGUUACCAGUUCGCCAUAAACUGGAUGUAUUGCAUGUUGUAAAGAAUGUUGGUGACCAUCUUCUGUUGACGAUUUUAGAAGUCAAAGAUAAAACUAAGGAUGGUUUAAGCGCACACGAA